UCAAGGUACUAAUUUUGAAGCCCAUCUUUCCAAUACUUCGAAUGCUUUCUGCAGAAAAGACUUUCAGUGGUUAACAUGAGAGAAAUAGGUUAAGUUAAAUCGUCAAAACAGUUUUAAAAUAAAAGGGUUCGUUUUUUAUUUGUAAAAUAGAAAAAACAAAUCUGUAAUUUAAUAAGUCGAUUUUCCAUAAACUGAAUUUAGUUAUGAAGUUCACAUCAUAUCUUAGACUCAUGAAAUAGAGAGAAACAUCAAGGAAACCAGCAAAUUCUGGCUUAUUACUAGAAAGCCAUGAUACGUUAAUCUAUCAGGGAGUUAAAUCAUUUAACCACGAUUUACCAUAGUAUUUCCACUACCGCGAGGAUUGGCUUCUUUAAACUCAUCCCAGUAACGAUCUUUCAUUGUUUUUGCAUCCAAUUUUUCAUAAUCAUCUUCAUCAUCGGAGUCUGACUUAGGGGGGUUAUCUUUUUGGCUUAUUAUGUUACCACGUUUCAUCUCCUCAUCUAAAUACUCAUCAACUGUCAUGGUGGGUAGAUUAUAGCCAAAUCCAAAAACAUUUUUUCGAGUCUCAUUUCGAUCCGAUACAAUGGUAAAUGGUUGAAGGGGCCGAUUAUUUUUGUCCAGAAUCUUGUCCCUGGUAUUUAAGUCCAAACGCCAAGAAGAUCCUUCUUUUUGCUUUCGUUCCUCUCUCCUAAGAGUCUCCUCAUCUUUCUCUGGACUGUCUUCUGAUUUCAUUAAUUCUGCUUGUGCUCGCUUUAGUAAAUCAAUUUCCAUUUCUAUAUGAGGAAGGGAGUCCAAUGUAUCUUCAACAGCAAUUUGUAAUUUAGUGAGCCAAAAUUUCCUCUCCUGCUCUUCAUUGGUUUCCGAGUCCUUAGACAAAGCCUUUAACUCCUUCUCAAGGUUUUGACGCAUUCUGUAUCUGGCGAUUUUUAGAGUCCUUGUAUCAGCCUCAGUUUUUGGUUUUUCAUCUUGCAUUGGUUUUAGUCCGUAAUCAUCACAAAUGCUAAGAAAUGUUUCAUAAUGAGUUUUUGCAUACUGGACGGCUUUUAGUCGAUCUCCUUUGGUCCAUUGUUCCACACAUUUGGCAAGUUCAUAAUCAAUCAUUAAAUAUCGUAAUUCGCUGGUUUUUAUUUCAUCUACUUCUUCGUUUGAAGAAAAAAUUCGUAACUGGAGAACAAGUUUCAAACAUUUUUCGUAGCCUUCCACAAUUUCAGAUCUUGUUUUUUCAUCUGUGCUUGAUGAAUCCUUCAGUUUCUCAGUUUCUUCCCAUAACUCUCUCAACGACUUCGAUUCCAUGUCCUUUAAUCCUCAAAACGUUUGAAGUAAAUAAAAAUAUUCGUAUGUAAAGCUAUAUUCUCAAAUCCGAAGAAUUCCUCAAAAAGUAGUGUGUUCUGGUACCAUGGAAAUAAUAUGCGGUUGUUAAUAAC